CAAGUCGAGCGAGAUCUGACAGUGUAUCGUCAGGUCUAGCGGCAGACGGGUGAGUAAUACUUGGGCAAUCUGCCCUUAAGUGGGGGACAACCGGCCGAAAGGCUGGCUAAUACCCCAUAAGACCACAGGGAUGCAUAUCCUAGGGGUCAAAGCUCCGCAAGGGGCGCUAAAGGAGGAGCCCGAGUCCUAUCAUGGUAGUUGGCGGGGUAAUGGCCCACCAAGCCGUUGACGGGUAGCCGGCCUGAAAGGGCAACCGGCCACACUGGCACUGAGACACGGGCCAGACUCCUACGGGAGGCAGCAGUGGGGAAUUUUGGACAAUGGGGGCAACCCUGAUCCAGCGACGCCGCGUGAAGGAUGAAGGUCUUCGGAUUGUAAACUUCUUUUGAUGGAGAUGAAUGGCCUGGUGAAUAGCCAGGAGUGACAGUAUCCAUCGAAUAAGCCACGGCUAACUACGUGCCAGCAGCCGCGGUAAUACGUAGGUGGCAAGCGAUACUCGGAAUCACUAGGCGUAAAGCGCAGGUAGGAGGUUUAGUAAGUCUGUUGUGAAAGCUCCCGGCUUAACUGGGAGAGGUCAACGGAAACUGCUAGGCUAGAGUGUGGUAGAGGUAGCUGGAAUUCCCGGUGUAGCGGUGAAAUGCGUAGAUAUCGGGAGGAAUACCUAUGGCGAAAGCAGGCUACUGGACCAUCACUGACUCUGAUCUGCGAAAGCUAGGGGAGCAAACAGGAUUAGAUACCCUGGUAGUCCUAGCCCUAAACGAUGCUCAUUAGGUGUGGGAGGUAUCGACCCCUUCCGCGCCGUAGCUAACGCAUUAAAUGAGCCGCCUGGGGAGUACGGCCGCAAGGUUGAAACUCAAAGGAAUUGACGGGGGCCC
rnacentral:rRNA from 1 species